CAUGAUACAAGGGAAUGCAGUACAAACGCAAGUCUCAACAGUAGAGAGUCAAAACCAUCCAGCACUCAGUGGCCCCAUCGCGCUGGUCAGUAGAGGACCCGAGGCCAUCAGACGCAGCGGAACCUUUCUGGGUCGUAAGGUGAUAGUCCGGGGGACGUAAAUAGCCAGACGACGCGAGGAGGAAAGUGCGGGAGACUGGAAUGAAGCGACUGGAGAGUUAUGAAGGAUGAUGCCGCCGAAGUCCCGAGCGGCUUCGAGACAAGGAAGAGAAGCUCCGCGACUCACUUGAGCCAGUCAGUCAGUGGUCAGUGGCGUCAGCUUUGUUGUGGUGUACGCGUGAGUCUUGUGUUUUCUUGAACGCUUUUUUGGGCUUUAGGUGAACCAAAACUCUCCCAAAGCCUGUCCACAGUGGUCAGCAGCUGUGACACAAGGAGCAGCUUUCUCAGCGACGGGGAGCGGUGGACGGCGGAUGAAUACUUUGGCUCCCGCGCCUUCUUCUGCAUCAUGUCCGCCCGCUGACCCUGGUGGUGGGCGACGUGCGUCAGAGGAGUUGAAAAUGUAGGGGACUCGCUGCUGUGCCCUGCGUGUAGCUGUGAGGUGAAGUGCAGACGGCUGCAUUGUCUCAGCCUCGGAGGUGCCACUUGUUCAAAUUACGAAUGGUUUAAUGUUAUUUUUUGCAGGCUGUGGAAUAUUGCAGUAUCUUAUAACAAGACAAAUGAUAUAAAAAAGCAUGUAAUUUACCGAUAAGCAUUACACAACAACAUUAUUGCGGUGAUAAAAUGUACUCCUGUAAAAUGCUACGUGGCAUCGUCUCUCAGCUGUUUUCAAGGUCGCAAGGGCAGGCUACCCACCCGCCCUCCUCCCUCGCUUUGAUGAUGCCGCGUAGCAUUUUACAGAAGUACUUUUAAUCACCGCAAUAAUGUUGUCCUGUAACGCUUAUCGGUAAAUUACAUGCUUUGUAAUCCCAUUUGUCUUGUUAUAAGAUAAUGUAAUAUUAAACCAUUCGUAAUAUGACUAAGUGGCACCUCCGAGGCUGCGACAAUACAACCGUGUGUCCGUCAUUUCACAGAGCACACCCGCGAGUCCCGUACAUUUUCAAAUCCUCUGAUGGGUAAACAAAGCCUUAAAAU